rnacentral:lncRNA from 1 species
CAGGAGGUAAGUGAAGGAAAUCCUCCAGCUGAGAUAGAAGGGAGAUCCCAGGAUAAUAGCUUUGCAGCCGACCUAGAGAACAAUCAUUUCAGAUUGGAGCAGGAGUAUGGAGGGCUCUGGAGCCAUAUAUCUAAGAAAAAAUGGAAACUGAUAAAAUUGAUAAAUUAUCUGAUUGUAUUUGGUUAUACUAAGAGGAGAGUUAUACUCCUAGAAGAGGGUAUGAGAAUGAAUUGGUAAUAAGUACAUAGGUAACUAAGCAAACAAAAAAAAU